UACAGGGGGGGCAAGCGUUGUUCGGAAUUACUGGGCGUAAAGGGCUUGUAGGUGGCCAACUAAGUCACACGUGAAAUCCCCAGGCUUAACCUGGGAACUGCGUGUGAUACUGGAUGGCUUGAAUCCGGGAGAGGGAUGCGGAAUUCCAGGUGUAGCGGUGAAAUGCGUAGAUAUCUGGAGGAACACCGGUGGCGAAGGCGGCAUCCUGGACCAACACUGACGCUGAGGAGCGAAAGCCAGGGGAGCAAACGGG
rnacentral:rRNA from 1 species